rnacentral:rRNA from 1 species
AUUGAACGCUAGCGGGAUGCCUUACACAUGCAAGUCGAGGGACCGGCGCACGGGUGAGUAACACGUAUCCAACCUGCCCUUUACUCGGGGAUAGCCUUUCGAAAGAAAGAUUAAUACCCGAUAUAAAGGAUGGGUAUGCGUUCCAUUAGGUUGUUGGUGCGGUAACGGCUAACAAAGCCUGCGAUGGAUAGGGGUUCUGAGAGGAGGGUUCCCCACAUUGGAACUGAGACACGGUCCAAACUCCUACGUGAGUCAGCAGUGAGGAAUAUUGGUCAAUGGGCGCUAGCCUGAACCUGCCACGUAGCGUGAAGGAUGAAGGCUUAUGGGUCUUAAACUUCUUUUAUAUAAGAAUAGGUAUUAUAUGAAUAAGGAUCGGCUAAUUCCGUGCCAGCAGCCGCGGUAAUUC